UUACCGAGUGAGGGCCCUCUGGGUCCAACCUCCCACCCGUGUUUAUUUACCUUGUUGCUUCGGCGAGCCUGCCUUUUGGCUGCCGGGGGACGUCAGUCCCCGGGUCCGUGCUCGCCGGAGACACCUUAGAACUCUGUCUGAAGAUUGUAGUCUGAGAUUAAAUAUAAAUUAUUUAAAACUUUCAACAACGGAUCUCUUGGUUCCGGCAUCGAUGAAGAACGCAGCGAAAUGCGAUACGUAAUGUGAAUUGCAGAAUUCAGUGAAUCAUCGAGUCUUUGAACGCACAUUGCGCCCUCUGGUAUUCCGGAGGGCAUGCCUGUCCGAGCGUCAUUGCUGCCCUCAAGCACGGCUUGUGUGUUGGGCCCCGUCCUCCUUCCGGGGGACGGGUCCGAAAGGCAGCGGCGGCACCGCGUCCGGUCCUCAAGCGUAUGGGGCUUUGUCACUCGCUUUGUAGGCCUGGCCGGCGCUUGCCGAUCAACCAAACUUUUUAUCAGGUUGACCUCGGAUCAGGUAGGGAUACCCGCUGAACUUAAGCAUAUCAAUAAGCGGAGGAAAAGAAACCAACAGGGAUUACCUCAGUAACGGCGAGUGAAGCGGUAAGAGCUCAAAUUUGAAAGCUGGCUCCUUCGGGGUCCGCAUUGUAAUUUGCAGAGGAUGCUUCGGGAGCGGUCCCCAUCUAAGUGCCCUGGAACGGGACGUCAUAGAGGGUGAGAAUCCCGUAUGGGAUGGGGUGUCCGCGCCCGUGUGAAGCUCCUUCGACGAGUCGAGUUGUUUGGGAAUGCAGCUCUAAAUGGGUGGUAAAUUUCAUCUAAAGCUAAAUAUUGGCCGGAGACCGAUAGCGCACAAGUAGAGUGAUCGAAAGAUGAAAAGCACUUUGAAAAGAGAGUUAAAAAGCACGUGAAAUUGUUGAAAGGGAAGCGCUUGCGACCAGACUCGCUCGCGGGGUUCAGCCGGCAUUCGUGCCGGUGUACUUCCCCGCGAGCGGGCCAACGUCGGUUUGGGCGGUCAGUCAAAGGCCCCUGGAAGGUAACGCCCCCUCGGGGGCGUCUUAUAGCCAGGGGUGCAAUGUGGCCUGC
rnacentral:rRNA from 1 species